rnacentral:rRNA from 1 species
AACGAACGCUGGCGGCAGGCCUAACACAUGCAAGUCGAGCGCCUCGCAAGGGGAGCGGCAGACGGGUGAGUAACGCGUGGGAACGUGCCCUUCGGUUCGGAAUAACUCAGGGAAACUUGAGCUAAUACCGGAUACGUGCGUAAGCAGAAAGAUUUAUCGCCGAAGGAGCGGCCCGCGUCCGAUUAGCUAGUUGGUGAGGUAACGGCUCACCAAGGCGACGAUCGGUAGCUGGUCUGAGAGGAUGAUCAGCCACACUGGGACUGAGACACGGCCCAGACUCCUACGGGAGGCAGCAGUGGGGAAUAUUGGACAAUGGGCGCAAGCCUGAUCCAGCCAUGCCGCGUGAGUGAUGAAGGCCCUAGGGUUGUAAAGCUCUUUCGCCAGGGACGAUAAUGACGGUACCUGGAUAAGAAGCCCCGGCUAACUUCGUGCCAGCCGCCGCGGUAAAAC